GACGAACGCUGGCGGCGUGCUUAACACAUGCAAGUCGAGCGGUAAGGCCCUUUCGGGGGUACACGAGCGGCGAACGGGUGAGUAACACGUGGGUGACCUGCCCUUAGCUCUGGGAUAAGCCUGGGAAACUGGGUCUAAUACCGGAUAUGACUCCAUGACGCAUGUUGUGGGGUGGAAAGCCUUGUGCGGCUAGGGAUGGGCCUGCGGCCUAUCAGCUUGUUGGUGGGGUGANGGCCUACCAAGGCGGCGACGGGUAGCCGGCCUGAGAGGGCGACCGGCCACACUGGGACUGAGACACGGCCCAGACCCCUACGGGAGGCAGCAGUGGGGAAUCUUGCGCAAUGGGCGAAAGCCUGACGCAGCGACGCCGCGUGGGGA
rnacentral:rRNA from 1 species